UGGGGAAUUUUGGACAAUGGGCGAAAGCCUGAUCCAGCCAUUCCGCGUGAGUGAAGAAGGCCUUCGGGUUGUAAAGCUCUUUCGGCAGGAACGAAAAGGUGUGGGCUAAUAUCCUGCAUCAAUGACGGUACCUGAAGAAGAAGCACCGGCUAACUACGUGCCAGCAGCCGCGGUAAUACGUAGGGUGCGAGCGUUAAUCGGAAUUACUGGGCGUAAAGCGUGCGCAGGUGGUUGUUUAAGACAGAUGUGAAAUCCCCGGGCUUAACCUGGGAACUGCGUUUGUGACUGGACAGCUAGAGUGCGGCAGAGGGGGGUGGAAUUCCACGUGUAGCAGUGAAAUGCGUAGAGAUGUGGAGGAACACCGAUGGCGAAGGCAGCCCCCUGGGCCAGCACUGACGCUCAUGCACGAAAGCGUGGGGAGCAAACAGG
rnacentral:rRNA from 1 species